CAGCAGCCGCGGUAAUACGGAGGGUCCAAGCGUUAUCCGGAUUUAUUGGGUUUAAAGGGUGCGCAGGCGGACCUAUCAGUCAGUGGUGAAAUCCCGGGGCUCAACUCCGGAACUGCCAUUGAUACUGUAGGUCUUGAGUUUGGUUGAAGUGGGCGGAAUGUAGCAUGUAGCGGUGAAAUGCAUAGAUAUGCUACAGAACACCGAUCGCGAAGGCAGCUCACUAAACCAAAACUGACGCUCAGGCACGAAAGCGUGGGUAGCGAACAGGAUUAGAUACCCUGGUAGUCCACGCCGUAAACGAUGAUUACUCGUUGUUGGCAACAUAUCGUCAGUGACCAAGCGAAAGCGAUAAGUAAUCCACCUGGGGAGUACGUUCGCAAGAAUGAAACUCAAAGGAAUUGACGGGGGCCCGCACAAGCGGUGGAGCAUGUGGUUUAAUUCGAUGAUGCGCGAGGAACCUUACCUGGGCUCAAAUGUAAGUUGACGUAUGGUGAAAGCCAUAUUUCUUCGGACAAUUUACAAGGUGCUGCAUGGUUGUCGUCAGCUCGUGCCGUGAGGUGUCGGGUUACGUCCCAUAACGAGCGCAACCCCUAUUCUUAGUUGCCAUCAGGUCAUGCUGGGGACUCUAGGAAAACUGCCUACGCCAGUAGAGAGGAAGGUGGGGANGACGUCAAAUCAGCACGGCCCUUACGUUCAGGGCUACACACGUGCUACAAUGGCGGGUACAGAGGGCAGCACACGCGCGAGUGGAAGCGAAUCUCUGAAAGCCGGUCUCAGUUCGGAUCGAAGUCUGCAAC
rnacentral:rRNA from 1 species